GCGAUGGAGGAGGAGGAUGAGGUAGCCAACACUGUUUUUAUAUAUAUAUAUAUAUAUAUAUAUAUAUAUAUUAUUAUUUUUUUUUUAAUUGGGGUAGCCCCCAAAAUAUUGGGACAUAUAAAAAAAGACAACUCUGUUCCGCAGAGUAGCUGUUGACAUUAUAGUUGCGCAGGAACUUUGUUGACUCUAGAGAACCUCGGGCAAAUCGCACAUCCCCGUGGCGGCGACUUUGCAUGCGGAUGUCAUCCAUAUCAACUUUCGAUGCCAGUUUCUGCGCCUACCAUGGUGACCACGGGUAACGGGGAAUCAGGGUUCCAUUCCGUACAGGGACCCUGAGAAACGGCUACCACAUGCAAGGAAGGCAGCAGGCG